rnacentral:rRNA from 1 species
GGGGGCUAAUACAUGCAGUCGAGCGGACAGAAGGGAGCUUGCUCCCUGAUGUUAGCGGCGGACGGGUGAGUAACACGUGGGUAACCUGCCUGUAAGACUGGGAUAACUCCGGGAAACCGGAGCUAAUACCGGAUAGUUCCUUGAACCGCAUGGUUCAAGGAUGAAAGACGGUUUCGGCUGUCACUUACAGAUGGACCCGCGGCGCAUUAGCUAGUUGGUGGGGUAAUGGCUCACCAAGGCGACGAUGCGUAGCCGACCUGAGAGGGUGAUCGGCCACACUGGGACUGAGACACGGCCCAGACUCCUACGGGAGGCAGCAGUAGGGAAUCUUCCGCAAUGGACGAAAGUCUGACGGAGCAACGCCGCGUGAGUGAUGAAGGUUUUCGGAUCGUAAAGCUCUGUUGUUAGGGAAGAACAAGUGCGAGAGUAACUGCUCGCACCUUGACGGUACCUAACCAGAAAGCCACGGCUAACUACGUGCCAGCAGCCGCGGUAAUACGUAGGUGGCAAGCGUUGUCCGGAAUUAUUGGGCGUAAAGGGCUCGCAGGCGGUUUCUUAAGUCUGAUGUGAAAGCCCCCGGCUCAACCGGGGAGGGUCAUUGGAAACUGGGAAACUUGAGUGCAGAAGAGGAGAGUGGAAUUCCACGUGUAGCGGUGAAAUGCGUAGAGAUGUGGAGGAACACCAGUGGCGAAGGCGACUCUCUGGUCUGUAACUGACGCUGAGGAGCGAAAGCGUGGGGAGCGAACAGGAUUAGAUACCCUGGUAGUCCACGCCGUAAACGAUGAGUGCUAAGUGUUAGGGGGUUUCCGCCCCUUAGUGCUGCAGCUAACGCAUUAAGCACUCCGCCUGGGGAGUACGGUCGCAAGACUGAAACUCAAAGGAAUUGACGGGGGCCCGCACAAGCGGUGGAGCAUGUGGUUUAAUUCGAAGCAACGCGAAGAACCUUACCAGGUCUUGACAUCCUCUGACAACCCUAGAGAUAGGGCUUUCCCUUCGGGGACAGAAUGACAGGUGGUGCAUGGUUGUCGUCAGCUCCUGGCCGGAAAUGUUGGGUUAAGUCCCGCAACGAACGCAACCCUUGAUCUUAGUUGCAGCAUUCAUUUGGGCAUCUAAGGUGACUGCCGGUGACAACCGGAAGAAGGGGGGAUAACCUCAAUCCUCCUGCCCCUUUAAACUGGGGUAACCCGGGCUAAAUGGAAAAAAAAAGGCUCCAAACCCCAGGGUUACCCAUCCCAAAAUCUGUUCCAAUUCGAACCACUUCCAACCCACCGGGGAAAG